AUAAACGGGGAAGGGGACCCAGCCCAUGGAGCUGCGGGACUAGAUUCCACGUCAGCAGCAGCAAUUUUCCUCACUUUUGCCUGAGAGGCCUGAGAUAAGGGAGGGGCGGGUCGCUUGACAGAAAAAAACCUAGCACGAGCUUCCCCAGUCCGUACAGGCAAAAUAAAACGGUUCAUGCACGAGGCAGGGGCUUCUCUAGCCAGCAAAGCAUGCUCAGGACCCAGACAUAGCACACAGUGCUCGUGCCCAUCAUCCAAAGGCAUAGGAAUGCCACACUCAAGGCAAGUUUGGGAGGCGUUGCCCGCCAUACUGCGCAGCUAGCAAGGGGCGGGGCCACACACCAACGGGGAAGUGCAAGCAGUUAGCCGCCCUAGCCUGAGUCCUAAACCCACUGUUUAUCCCCGCAGGGCAGGUAAGCUUUUUCACCACACUGUCAGGGAAGAGUGGGACACAGCCUCUGCUGUCGGCGUUUAUGCACACAGCCGCAGCAGAGCUGAGCGAGCAGGCGAUGGUUUAACAGUAACGCCAAAGCCACGUGACCCCUAUGUAGCGCGCUACAGCAGCUACCAACACUGAAGCCGUUUACUUCGUGUGACCAUUUUCCCCCUACGUGUUAUGCUACCCUCAGUGUAUGCUUUCACAGUAGCCUAGCCAACAGCGCAUGCUAGUACGCUGAAGCAGCUUCCCCCCCGCGGUAUGGCUCACAGCAGCUAAGCCGACAGCACGCGCUAGCGACGCUAAGCCGUGUCCCCCCCCGUGUUCAUGCAUCACAGCAGCCUAGUCGACAGCAGUCACUCAGCAAGGCUGACGCCGUGAGCCACCGCGUAGCCCACAGGCUAAGCUAUCUGCUGCCCAGGCGACAGCACUUGCUCCGAGGGCCGAGUCUUCCCGCGAGAGAGGCUAAGGAGAGCGGGCCGCAGCUAGCCUUCAGUCGGACCAGCUAACAGGCCGGGGCUACCAGGGGAAUACCGGGGCUACCAGGGGAACACCUAGAAGGGAGAGAUACAUCGCCCACGGAGGAUGCCGAAGCAUGCUCCAAUAGACGCAAGCACACAGCACUCUCAAGACAGCUGUACCAGUAAAAAAACAGAUCAGGGAGGGCUUAUUGAAUUACGAUCACGUGCUGACAGAAGUAGCCUCGGGCAUUUACAGCUUUCAAACCCUGCAGCUAUGCCUCCUCCAGGUGUGUGCAUGAACAUCAUCAGUGCACGCCACAUGAAAAAUGGCUACGGGACUGUCACCAACCCCGAGAGGUUCCUAAACCAAGACUUCCACCAGCUGAAACAGUACUGUCUCAUCCGACAUCUAAGGUACAUCGAUGAGAUGUUUCCCCCUGACAGAAAUUCAAUCGGCAAUGAGAUACUGACGCCUUCUGAUCUUGCCCGAGUGGUGUGGCUGCGACCAGGGAAAAUUGUUCCAAAUCCAUCUUUUGUUGUUGACGGGGUCUCCAGGUUUGACUUUGGUCAAGGUUGGGCUAAAAACUGCUGGUUUAUUGCCUCUAUUGGAGCUCUGACAUUUCAGAAUCACAUCCUUGGACAAGUUGUUCCUCUUGAGCAAAACUUUGAUGAGGAUUACUGUGGGCUGUUCCACUUCAGGUUCUGGAGAUUUGGAAAAUGGGUGGAUGUCAUCAUUGAUGACAAACUACCAACAAUUGAUGGCAGACUCAUUUUUGUCCACUCCAGAGAUCCAACUGAAUUUUGGCCGGCUCUGCUGGAAAAAGCCUAUGCAAAGGUGUGUGGUUCCUACACAGAUAUGAAUGCUGGAACCCCUGCUGAGGCGUUGGUAGACUUCACUGGUGGGGUCCACAUUUAUAUUGAUCUAUCAAAGCCCCCUCCAGACCUGUGGGAAAUGAUGUGCCGAGCCGGUCAAUCCAAGUCACUGAUGGGUUGUGGGACACCACAGGGUGAGACAACUGAAAACAUUGUACUACCAAAUGGGCUGGUCCAAAGCCAUGCUUACGCUGUCACAGGUGUUAAACAGAUGAUUAGCCGAGGGCAGACGGUGAAUCUGGUGCGUUUGUGGAAUCCCUGGGGCCACGGAGAGUGGAAUGGAGACUGGAGUGAUCGGUCCCCUCUGUGGCAAACUGUGAGUCCUCAAGAUCGAGAUAUGUGCCUAGCAGUCUAUGAUGACGGCGAGUUUUGGAUGAGUCUGAAAGACUUCUGUAAGACCUAUUCAGAGCUCGACAUCUGCUGCAUGUGCCCUGACUUCCUGGAUGGAAACUCUACCUGUCACUGGAACACCUCCAUUUAUCAAGGUCGAUGGGUUGCAGGAACCACUGCUGGAGGCUGCAUGAAGAACCCUGAGAGCUUCUGGACAAAUCCACAGUAUCGGGUCAAGAUUGAUGAAUUAUCCAGUGAAUGUGCUGGGAAACAGGGUGAAAUCAACAUGCUGGUCUCUCUCAUGCAAAAGCCUGACAAAAGGAAUAGACGCCUGGUCCAGAACCUCUACAUUGGAUUUUCUGUAUUUGAGGUGCCCAAAAAUUACAUGACACACAGCGGAAAGUUCCCAGCCUCUUUCUUCAGUGUGAGCAAACUUGUUGCCCACACUAAAUCCUACAUAAAUGCCCGUGAGGUGAUGGAGUUAAUGAUGCUGAAGCCUGGUGAAUAUCUGAUUGUGCCAUCCACCUUCAGUCCCAAUGAGACAGCCUCCUUCAUCCUGACCAUCCUGUCCAAGGCAGAGACCCACGUGCAUGAAAACUCCAGUGGUCAUGAACAUAUGGAAUUGGAAGAGAACACACCAGUGGGAAAGAGUGAAGAUGACGAAAGUAAAAGGACAUUCUUCCGUCAACAUUCUGACAAGUAUGAAGAAGUGGAUGCAGAGCAGCUACAGAGGCUCCUAAAUGGAAAAAUACUACAAGGAGACUUGAAAUCUGGAGGAUUCACAAUCGAUGCCUGUCGCAGCAUGGUAGCUCUGAUGGAUACAUCUGUGACUGGAAAGCUGAAUGGUGAAGAAUUUGUUCGUCUGUGGAAGAAGGUUGUCACAUACCAGGAAAUUUUCUCCCGCUGUGAUGUUUCAAAAACGGGGACGCUGUCACUAAGUGAGCUGAGAAAUGCUAUGAUAGCCUCAGGAAUGAAGAUCAGCGACGAGAUGCUGAAUUUGAUGGCUCUGCGUUACGGCACCUCAUCUGGGCACAUUACUCUGGAGAGCUUCAUCAGUCUAGUACUUCGCUUUGAAUGCAUGUACCAAAUCUUCAACCAGUUGUCUGAUGGGAAGGCUGUGACUCUUCAGGAACCAGAGUGGAUGUACAUUGCAAUGUACACUUAACCUGACAGAGAAGAUGACCUGCAAGAAUGAGACCAAAGACGAAAUAAAGAAAAAAGAGUUUUUCAGCAUGAAAAAAAAAUCAUGAUAUCCAACUACAGGGUGAAGGUUUACAGGAUAUGCACGGGGCAGCAGAGUUAGACUACAAAUCUGUGGGGAGUAGAAACUUUACAGUUACAGUACAACAGAUAGAACCAUGAGUGUGCAGCAUCUGUGAUUAUUUUACACUGAAAUCUUACAUUUUUUACAAAUACUAAUUCUACCAGCUGUAAGUUUUCAAGUUCAAAGGUGGUGGUGCUUUAGAAGCACAAAGUUUGUUUCAAAUCUUUGAGUAUAUAGCUCAUGUACUCCAACUUUGCUACAUGCUUCUGUUACUGGAGUUCUUCAUCCUUUUUAAGUGGGUUGCUGCAUUUUCUUUUCCACCUCUACGAUACAGUAAGAAGUUUUUUGUUUGUUGCUGUUGUUUUUAAGCCCUAAUAAGCAUGUUGUGUGAUUGUCUCCCAACGUAAAAUCACACUGAAAUAUGCAAAAAGCUUUUGCAUGAAUUUACAUGAAAUUUGAUGUCUCAGGAAGAAAUGUAUUCACUCUUGUGAUUGGUUAACUUUUCAUCUAGUGCGAUCAAUUGGUUGAAACUUUACUUUGUUAUUUAGCUGAGACCAUGUGUGCCUGUACAUGCAGCCUUAUGGUGCCAGGAUGUCUGAUAUUACUGUAAAAAGUGUUUCUGAUAGAGCAUUUUAAGUGGGUUACUGAUUUUUUUAGCUUGGAAUGGAUUUUUUUAAUCAGCUUGUACAUAAAGAAAUGAUUCAAGCGGU